rnacentral:rRNA from 1 species
GUGGGGAAUCUUGCACAAUGGGGGCAACCCUGAUGCAGCGACGCCGCGUGAGCGAUGAAGCCCUUCGGGGUGUAAAGCUCUUUCGGCAGGGAAGAUUAUGACGGUACCUGCAGAAGCAGCUGCGGCUAACUACGUGCCAGCAGCCGCGGUAAUACGUAGGCAGCGAGCGUUGUUCGGAGUUACUGGGCGUAAAGGGUGUGUAGGCGGUUUUCUAAGUCUGGUGUGAAAUCUCCCGGCUCAACUGGGAGGGUGCGCCGAAAACUGGAAGGCUAGAGUGCGGGAUGGGUAAGUGGAAUUCCUGGUGUAGCGGUGAAAUGCGUAGAUAUCAGGAGGAACACCUGUGGUGUAGACGGCUUACUGGACCGCAACUGACGCUGAAACACGAAAGCGUGGGUAGCAAACAGGAUUAGAAACCCUGGUAGUCC